rnacentral:lncRNA from 1 species
AAAAGCCAUAGAAGAACCACAUGAUAGCACAUAGUGUGAGGAAAAAUGAGAGUGCAAACGGCAUGUACUCUACACUCUUAGUCCUUAUAACCAGUGUCUGAAAUCACACACAAAAAAACUUAAGGUGAGUUUAUCAUGAAUAUAACAACUAAUUUCAAUAAUUUUGUUAUCUUUAUAUUAAUUUAGGUACCAUGAUGCCAAGGGGAGCGGCAAAAUUAGAGACAGAAAAGAUCGCGCAGAUCCAUCCGACAAUCGUGACUCUCACUUUCCCGUGUGAGAAUAAGGAUGUGCAAAGUAUGAUCAAACCAUAUACUCCUACAUUGAAGAAGAUAAGCAUCUUUGUCGUAUAUA